UAUAUAGGAAAUCACAUUUGAUAUCGGCAUCAAUCAGUGAGUACACAUAACAAUUGGACUAAAUUUGAUUUGGUUAGACUAGAACAUGCACAGAUUUAUGAUCUUCCAUAU